AACUGAUACUACCUGCGGGAACCUGCGGAAGGAUCAUUACCGAGUUUUCAACUCCCUAACCCUUCUGUGAACCUACCUAUCGUUGCUUCGGCGGACUCGCCCCAGCCCGGACGCGGACUGGACCAGCGGCCCGCCGGGGACCUCAAACUCUUGUAUUCCAGCAUCUUCUGAAUACGCCGCAAGGCAAAACAAAUGAAUCAAAACUUUCAGCAAUGGAUCUCUAGAUCGGAAGAGCACACG
rnacentral:misc_RNA from 1 species